rnacentral:tRNA from 1 species
UCCUGGCUCAGACGGUAAAAGCAUCUGCUUACAAUGCGGAAGGCCCGGGUUCGAUCCCUGGGUCGGGAA